AUUGAACGCUGGCGGCAGGCCUAACACAUGCAAGUCGAGCGGAGGAAGGGAGCUUGCUCCUGGAUUCAGCGGCGGACGGGUGAGUAAUGCCUAGGAAUCUGCCUGGUAGUGGGGGAUAACGUCCGGAAACGGGCGCUAAUACCGCAUACGUCCUGAGGGAGAAAGUGGGGGAUCUUCGGACCUCACGCUAUCAGAUGAUCCUAGGUCGGAUUAGCUAGUUGGUGGGGUAAAGGCCUACCAAGGCGACGAUCCGUAACUGGUCUGAGAGGAUGAUCAGUCACACUGGAACUGAGACACGGUCCAGACUCCUACGGGAGGCAGCAGUGGGGAAUAUUGGACAAUGGGCGAAAGCCUGAUCCAGCCAUGCCGCGUGUGUGAAGAAGGUCUUCGGAUUGUAAAGCACUUUAAGUUGGGAGGAAGGGCAGUAAGUUAAUACCUUGCUGUUUUGACGUUACCAACAGAAUAAGCACCGGCUAACUUCGUG
rnacentral:rRNA from 1 species